GACGAACGCUGGCGGCGUGCUUAACACAUGCAAGUCGAACGGAAAGACCCUGCUUUUGUGGGGUGCUCGAGUGGCGAACGGGUGUGUAACACGUGAGUAACCUGCCCUUGACUUUGGGAUAACUUCAGGAAACUGGGGCUAAUACCGGAUAGGAGCUCCUGCUGCAUGGUGGGGGUUGGAAAGUUUCGGCGGUUGGGGAUGGACUCGCGGCUUAUCAGCUUGUUGGUGGGGUAGUGGCUUACCAAGGCUUUGACGGGUAGCCGGCCUGAGAGGGUGACCGGCGACAUUGGGACUGAGAUACGGCCCAGACUCCUACGGGAGGCAGCAGUGGGGAAUAUUGCACAAUGGGCGGAAGCCUGAUGCAGCAACGCCGCGUGCGGGAUGACGGCCUUCGGGUUGUAAACCGCUUUCGCCUGUGACGAAGCGUGAGUGACGGUAAUGGGUAAAGAAGCACCGGCUAACUACGUG
rnacentral:rRNA from 1 species